rnacentral:rRNA from 1 species
UGGUUGGGAAGUCCUYGUGUUGCACCC